rnacentral:rRNA from 1 species
AAUGAACGUUGGCGGCGUGGAUUAGGCAUGCAAGUCGUACGCACAGCUUCGGCUGUGAGUGGCGCAAGGGUGAGUAAUGCGAAGGUAACCAACCCUGGUGUUGGGCAUAACCGCGGGAAACUGCGGGUAAUUCCCAGCGACGUCGCGAGAUGGCAUCAUCUUGCGACCAAAGGUGUGAUUCCGCUCUAGGACGGGCCUUCGUGGUAUUAGGUAGUUGGUGAGGUAACGGCUCACCAAGCCGACGAUGCCUACCGGGUGUGAGAGCAUGACCCGGCACACUGGAACUGAGACACUGUCCAGACACCUACGGGUGGCUGCAGUCGAGAAUCUUCGGCAAUGGGCGAAAGCCUGACCGAGCGACGCCGCGUGAGGGAAGAAGGCCUUCGGGUUGUAAACCUCUUUCGUAGAGGAGGAAGGGGCCGUGCAGAGCGGUCUUUGACCUAUUCUAGGAAGAAGCUUGGGCUAAGUUCGUGCCAGCAGCCGCGGUAAUGCUACGU